UGAGGAACAUGACCUUCGGCGGGGGAUAGCCGGCCCAACGGCCGGGUAAUACCGCGUACGACCACAUGGGGACAUCCCUGAGUGGUGAAAGCAGCAAUGCGCCGAUGGAGUGCCUCGCGGCCUAUCAGCUAGUUGGUGAGGUAACGGCUCACCAAGGCGACGACGGGUAGCUGGUCUGAGAGGAUGGCCAGCCAACUAGUUGGGACUGAGACCGACCGGCCCCAGACCCUUGUACCGGGGA
rnacentral:rRNA from 1 species